UACGUAGGGGGCAAGCGUUGUCCGGAAUUAUUGGGCGUAAAGCGCGCGCAGGCGGCUUUGUAAGUUUGGUGUUUAAUCUCAGAGCUCAACUCUGAUUCGCAUCGAAAACUGCAAGGCUUGAGUACAGAAGAGGAAAGUGGAAUUCCACGUGUAGCGGUGAAAUGCGUAGAGAUGUGGAGGAACACCUGUGGCGAAAGCGGCGCACUGGACCACAACUGACGCUGAGGCGCGAAAGCUAGGGGAGCAAACAGG
rnacentral:rRNA from 1 species